GGGUGUGAAAAACACCCACGCCGAAAGACCAAGGGUUCCUGCGCAACGUUAAUCGACGCAGGGUUAGUCGGUUCCUAAGGCGAGGCUGAAAAGCGUAGUCGAUGGGAAACAGGUUAAUAUUCCUGUACUUCUGGUUACUGCGAUGGAGGGACGGAGAAGGCUAGGCCAGCUUGGCGUUGGUUGUCCAAGUUUAAGGUGGUAGGCUGAAAUCUUAGGUAAAUCCGGGGUUUCAAGGCCGAGAGCUGAUGACGAGUCGUCUUUUAGAUGACGAAGUGGUUGAUGCCAUGCUUCCAAGAAAAGCUUCUAAGCUUCAGGUAACCAGGAACCGUACCCCAAACCGACACAGGUGGUCGGGUAGAGAAUACCAAGGCGCUUGAGAGAACUCGGGUGAAGGAACUAGGCAAAAUGGCACCGUAACUUCGGGAGAAGGUGCGCCGGCUAGGGUGAAGGAUUUACUCCGUAAGCUCUGGCUGGUCGAAGAUACCAGGCCGCUGCGACUGUUUAUUAAAAACACAGCACUCUGCAAACACGAAAGUGGACGUAUAGGGUGUGACGCCUGCCCGGUGCCGGAAGGUUAAUUGAUGGGGUUAGCGCAAGCGAAGCUCUUGAUCGAAGCCCCGGUAAACGGCGGCCGUAACUAUAACGGUCCUAAGGUAGCGAAAUUCCUUGUCGGGUAAGUUCCGACCUGCACGAAUGGCGUAACGAUGGCGGCGCUGUCUCCACCCGAGACUCAGUGAAAUUGAAAUCGCUGUGAAGAUGCAGUGUAUCCGCGGCUAGACGGAAAGACCCCGUGAACCUUUACUGUAGCUUUGCACUGGACUUUGAGCCUGCUUGUGUAGGAUAGGUGGGAGGCUUUGAAGCGUGGACGCCAGUUCGCGUGGAGCCAUCCUUGAAAUACCACCCUGGCAUGCUUGAGGUUCUAACUCUGGUCCGUAAUCCGGAUCGAGGACAGUGUAUGGUGGGCAGUUUGACUGGGGCGGUCUCCUCCUAAAGAGUAACGGAGGAGUACGAAGGUGCGCUCAGACCGGUCGGAAAUCGGUCGCAGAGUAUAAAGGCAAAAGCGCGCUUGACUGCGAGACAGACACGUCGAGCAGGUACGAAAGUAGGUCUUAGUGAUCCGGUGGUUCUGUAUGGAAGGGCCAUCGCUCAACGGAUAAAAGGUACUCCGGGGAUAACAGGCUGAUACCGCCCAAGAGUUCAUAUCGACGGCGGUGUUUGGCACCUCGAUGUCGGCUCAUCACAUCCUGGGGCUGAAGCCGGUCCCAAGGGUAUGGCUGUUCGCCAUUUAAAGUGGUACGCGAGCUGGGUUUAGAACGUCGUGAGACAGUUCGGUCUCUAUCUGCCGUGGACGUUUGAGAUUUGAGAGGGGCUGCUCCUAGUACGAGAGGACCGGAGUGGACGAACCUCUGGUGUUCCGGUUGUCACGCCAGUGGCAUUGCCGGGUAGCUAUGUUCGGAAAAGAUAACCGCUGAAAGCAUCUAAGCGGGAAACUUGCCUCAAGAUGAGAUCUCACUGGGAACUUGAUUCCCCUGAAGGGCCGUCGAAGACUACGACGUUGAUAGGCUGGGUGUGUAAGCGUUGUGAGGCGUUGAGCUAACCAGUACUAAUUGCCCGUGAGGCUUGACCAUAUAACACCCAAACA
rnacentral:rRNA from 1 species